rnacentral:rRNA from 1 species
AACGAACGCUGGCGGCAUGCCUAACACAUGCAAGUCGAACGAUUGCCUUCGGGUGAUAGAGGCCCACGGGUGCGUAACGCGUGGGAAUCUGCCCUUAGGUUCGGAAUAACAGCUGGAAACGGCUGCUAAUACCGGAUGAUAUCGCGAGAUCAAAGAUUUAUCGCCUGAGGAUGAGCCCGCGUUGGAUUAGGUAGUUGGUGGGGUAAAGGCCUACCAAGCCGACGAUCCAUAGCUGGUCUGAGAGGAUGAUCAGCCACACUGGGACUGAGACACGGCCCAGACUCCUACGGGAGGCAGCAGUGGGGAAUAUUGGACAAUGGGCGCAAGCCUGAUCCAGCAAUGCCGCGUGAGUGAUGAAGGCCGUAGGGUUGUAAAGCUCUUUUACCCGGGAAGAUAAUGACUGUACCGGGAGAAUAAGCCCCGGCUAACUCCGUG